rnacentral:misc_RNA from 1 species
GCGGUGCUCGAUGCCAGUCGAAGCGCAGUAACUUUCGAACUGCGGACCAAGCACUUACGCAGCAAGUGCCUAUACAACGUUUGUUUCUUGCGACGUACAAAGACAGUGAAAUUAAAAUAUAGCGUUCGUGCAGGAAGGAGAGCAAUAACUAGGACUGCGUAUUACACGUAUAUGCCGAUCACGGAGCCGUGAUACCUCGACCAUGCAGGUGCAUUCAGCCCGAUUCGGGGACACCUGAGCCGCAACGGUGAGUCUCUCGUCCUGCUCUUUUGCUUUCGCUUAUCUAUACCGCCG